rnacentral:rRNA from 1 species
GCCCACAGGGGGUUUGGUGCGGGAGCGCCUGGCGCCCCAGAAACCCUUUGUGAACUUAUACCUACUGUUGCCUCGGCGCAGGCCGGCCUUUGUCAAAGAAGGCCCCCUGGGAACAGGGAGCAGCCCGCCGGCGGCCAACUAAACUCUUGUUUCUAUAGUGAAUCUCUGAGUGAAAACAUAAAUGAAUCAAAACUUUCAACAACGGAUCUCUUGGUUCUGGCAUCGAUGAAGAACGCAGCGAAAUGCGAUAAGUAAUGUGAAUUGCAGAAUUCAGUGAAUCAUCGAAUCUUUGAACGCACAUUGCGCCCUCUGGUAUUCCGGAGGGCAUGCCUGUUCGAGCGUCAUUUCAACCCUCAAGCCUGGCUUGGUGAUGGGGCACUGCUCUCUCGCGGGAGCAGGCCCUGAAAUCUAGUGGCGAGCUCGCCAGGACCCCGAGCGUAGUAGUUACAUCUCGCUCUGGAAGGCCCUGGCGGUGCCCUGCCGUUAAACCCCCAACUUCUGAAAAUUUGACCUCGGAUCAGGUAGGAAUACCCGCUGAACUUAAGCAUAUCAAUAAGCGGAGGAAAUCAUUGCUGGAACGCGCCUCGGCGCACCCAGAAACCCUUUGUGAACUUAUACCUACUGUUGCCUCGGCGCAGGCCGGCCUUUGUCAAAGAAGCCCCCUGGGAACAGGGAGCAGCCCGCCGGCGGCCAACUAAACUCUUGUUUCUAUAGUGAAUCUCUGAGUGAAAACAUAAAGAAUCAAACUUUCACACGGAUCUCUUGGUUCUGGCAUCAAGAAAGACGCACGAAAUGCGAUAAGUAAUGAUGGAAUGUAGAAAUACUGAAUAUGCAUCUUUGCGCCAUUGGCCUUCUGUAUCUCGAAGGCAUGCUGUUCAGCUCAUUCUCCUCCACCUGGGAUGGUGUAUGGGCAUGCCUCUUCGGGGAGACGGCCCGACACUAAGUGCGAUUCCAGACACAAAGACAAUAAUAUCACCUAUCGUCCGUGUGAAUGA